UACGGAAGGCAGCAGUGGGGAAUAUUGCACAAUGGGCGCAAGCCUGAUGCAGCCAUGCCGCGUGUAUGAAGAAGGCCUUCGGGUUGUAAAGUACUUUCAGUCGUGAGGAAGGUGUUAAGGUUAAUAACCUUAGCAAUUGACGUUAGCGACAGAAGAAGCACCGGCUAACUCCGUGCCAGCACGCCGCGGUAAUACGGAGGGUGCGAGCGUUAAUCGGAAUUACUGGGCGUAAAGGGCACGCAGGCGGUUAAUUAAGUUGGAUGUGAAAUCCCCGGGCUUAACCUGGGAAUGGCAUUCAAGACUGGUUAGCUAGAGUCUUGUAGAGGGGGUAGAAUUCCAUGUGUAGCGGUGAAAUGCGUAGAGAUGUGGAGGAAUACCGGUGGCGAAGGCGGCCCCUGGACAAAGGACUGACGCUCAUGUGCGAAAGCGUGGGGAGCGAAACAGGGAUUAGAUACC
rnacentral:rRNA from 1 species